GGGCCAAGGUGGGCCAGGGGUGGUGUUGGGACAGCUGCGUUUAAAAAGGCAUCUCCAAGAGCUUCCAUCAAAGGCUGCCUCUUGGUGCAGCACAGGUAGA
ensembl:miRNA